rnacentral:rRNA from 1 species
UGGGGGAUAUUGCACAAUGGGCGAAAGCCUGAUGCAGCGACGCCGCGUGGGGGAUGAAGGCCUUCGGGUUGUAAACUUCUUUUGCUCUGAACAAGGCAUGCCUUUGGGGUGUGUUGAGUGUAGGGGUUGAUUAGCGCCGGCUAACUACGUGCCAGCAGCCGCGGUAAUACGUAGGGCGCGAGCGUUGUCCGGAAUUAUUGGGCGUAAAGGGCUUGUAGGUGGCUGGUUGCGUCUGUCGUGAAAGCUCAUGGCUUAACUGUGGGUUUGCGGUGGGUACGGGCUGGCUUGAGUGCAGUAGAGGGGGCUGGAAUUCCUGGUGUAGCGGUGGAAUGCGCAGAUAUCAGGAGGAAUACCGGUGGCGAAGGCGGGUCUCUGGGCUGUUACUGACGCUGAGGAGCGAAAGCGUGGGGAGCGAACAGG